CCUACGGGGGACAGCAGUGGGGAAUCUUGCACAAUGGGGGCAACCCUGAUGCAGCGACGCCGCGUGAGUGAAGAAGUAAUUCGUUAUGUAAAGCUCUAUCAGCAGGGAAGAAAAUAACGGUACUCAAUGAAUAAGCCGCGGCUAACUACUUGCAAGCAGCCGCGGUAAUACGUCGGUGGAGAGCGUUAUCCGGCGUUACUGGGUGUAAAGGGCGUGGAGUCGGGACUGCAAGACUUUUGUGAAAACCAUGGGCUCAACCCAUGGCCUGCAUUUGAAACUGUAGUUCUUGAGUGAUGGAGAGGGAGGCGGAAUUCCGGGUGUAGCGGUGAAAUGCGUAGAUAUACGGAGGAACACCAGUGGCGAAGGUGGCCUACUGGACAUUAACUGACGCUGAGGCGCGAAAGCGUGGGGAGCAAACAGGAUUAGAUACCCCAGUAGUC
rnacentral:rRNA from 1 species